CGAACAGUCACACUGGAACUGAGACACGGUCCAGACUCCUACGGGAGGCAGCAGUGAGGAAUAUUGCACAAUGGGAGCAAUCCUGAUGCAGCGACGCCGCGUGCGGGAUGAAGGGGCUUAGCCUCGUAAACCGCUGUCGGAGGGGACGAAUGGUACAUUUGAUGUACUGAGACGGUACCCUCAAAGGAAGGAUCGGCUAACUACGUGCCAGCAGCCGCGGUAAUACGUAGGAUCCGAGCGUUGUCCGGAAUUACUGGGUGUAAAGGGUGCGUAGGCGGACUUGUGCGUCAGAGGUGAAAUCCACGGGCUUAACCCGUGGGGUGCCUUUGAUACGGCAAGUCUUGAGUGCGAGAGAGGUGGGUGGAAUUCCUGGUGUAGCAGUGAAAUGCGUAGAUAUCAGGAGGAACACCGAUGGCGAAGGCAGCCCACCGGCUCGCAACUGACGCUGAGGCACGAAAGCGUGGGGAUCAAACAGGAUUAGAUACCCUGGUAGUCCACGCCUUAAACGAUGUAUGCUUGGUGUUGGGUCGCAAGACUCAGUGCCGGAGGAAACCUAUUAAGCAUACCACCUGGGGAGUACGAUCGCAAGGUUGAAACUCAAGGAAUUGACGGGGGCCCGCACAAGCGGUGGAUCAUGUGGUUUAAUUCGAUGCAACGCGAGGAACCUUACCCGGGC
rnacentral:rRNA from 1 species